rnacentral:rRNA from 1 species
GAUGAACGCUGGCGGCGUGCCUAAUACAUGCAAGUCGAGCGAACAGACGAGGAGCUUGCUCCUCUGACGUUAGCGGCGGACGGGUGAGUAACACGUGGAUAACCUACCUAUAAGACUGGGAUAACUUCGGGAAACCGGAGCUAAUACCGGAUAAUAUAUUGAACCGCAUGGUUCAAUAGUGGAAGACGGUUUUGCUGUCACUUAUAGAUGGAUCUGCGCCGCAUUAGCUAGUUGGUAAGGUAACGGCUUACCAAGGCAACGAUGCGUAGCCGACCUGAGAGGGUGAUCGGCCACACUGGAUCUGAGACACGGUCCAGACUCCUACGGGAGGCAGCAGUAGGGAAUCUUCCGCAAUGGGCGAAAGCCUGACGGAGCAACGCCGCGUGAGUGAUGAAGGUCUUCGGAUCGUAAAACUCUGUUAUUAGGGAAGAACAAAUGUGUAAGUAACUAUGCACGUCUUGACGGUACCUAAUCAGAAAGCCACGGCUAACUACGUG